AACGAACGCUGGCGGCAGGCUUAACACAUGCAAGUCGAACGAUGUAGCAAUACAUAGUGGCGCACGGGUGAGUAACGCGUGGGAAUGUACCUUUUAGUGGGGGAUAACUCCGGGAAACUGGAGCUAAUACCGCAUACGCCCUUCGGGGGAAAGAUUUAUCGCUAAAAGAUCAGCCCGCGUGAGAUUAUGGUAGUUGGUGAGGUAAUGGCUCACCAGGCCGACGAUCUCUAGCUGGUCUGAGAGGACGACCAGCCACACUGGAACGGAGACACGGUCCAGACUCCUACGGGAGGCAGCAGUGGGGAAUAUUGGGCAAUGGAGGCAACUCUGACCCAGCCAUGCCGCGUGAGUGAUGAAGGCUCUAGGGUUGUAAAGCUCUUUCGCCGAUGAAGAUAAUGACGGUAGUCGGAGAAGAAGCCCCGGCUAACUUCGUGCCAGCCGCCGCAGUAA
rnacentral:rRNA from 1 species